rnacentral:misc_RNA from 1 species
UGGUUCUGGCAUNGAUGAAGAACGCAGCGAAAUGCGAUAAGUAAUGUGAAUUGCAGAAUUCAGUGAAUCAUCGAAUCUUUGAACGCACAUUGCGCCCUCUGGUAUUCCGGGGGGCAUGCCUGUUCGAGCGUCAUUACAACCCUCAAGCUCUGCUUGGUAUUGGGCUUCACUGCGUUGCAGUGUGCCUUGAAAUCAGUGGCGAUGCCAUUCGGCUUCAAGCGUAGUAACAUUUCUCGCUUUGGAGUUUGGAUGUGUGUCUGCCAUCAAUCCCCAUUUCAAAAGUUGACCUCGGAUCAGGUAGGGAUACCCGCUGA